rnacentral:lncRNA from 1 species
GUCCAGGUGCUCUCCUGCGGCCAACACAGCCCUAAUGAGCUCUGCAUAUUCAAAGCACAAGUAAUUGAUAGUCCAAUUUAAAGUGUGCAGAGGCCGAAUUUCUUUCCAGACGCUGAAGGAAAAACACCAGCUGAGGAAGAAUGAAGAACUGCCUGUUCUAAGUUAUUCUUCUGUGGUCAUUCGAGCACCAGGAAGACCAGGUUUGCCCCAUCAAGUACCUCAAGAAAGAAGUCAAUUACCUAAAGAAGUCAAGCAAAGAGGAAAGGACAAAAUGAAAAUCAUGUACCAGCGUACACGUCGAGGCUCCAAGCUGGAAUGAAUAUGGCCUUCAACAUACUCUUUAUCAUACAGAAGCUUGUGUUCAGGGCUUGGAUUUUGAAGUCAGACAGACCUGGAUUAAAAACCAAUUCAACUACCUAUUACAUAUGUGACCUAGGAAAAACAUCCAGGCAAGUGGACAGCAUUUGCAUCAGCCCAGCAAUAAGAAGGACCAUAUUCUACUUGGGAAAAGGUAAAGUCAUUUCAUAUGGAUGGAGCCUGCCAGGAAACCUGUCAUUCAACCCUUCGCAAUAAAACAGCUCCUCAUGAAUGAAGCAAAAUAAAUCAGAAGUUGUGGGCUUUUAAACUCACUAAAUGAAAGCCCAGCAUGCAUGCAGCCUCCCUCCAAAUUAAUCACCAGAUUAAAUGCAAGAUGUGCACACCAAAUCAAUAGCUUGUGACACAGACCUCCUGCCUGUGCUUCAGGAAAAUUCCAUUUCCUUUCAGAUGU